rnacentral:rRNA from 1 species
CCCUUAGAUGUUCUGGGCCGCACGCGCGCUACACUGACGAAUGCAACGAGCUUAUAACCUUGGCCGAAAGGUCUGGGUAAUCUCCAAAUUUCGUCGUGAUGGGGAUAGAUUAUUGCAAUUAUUAAUCUUCAACGAGGAAUGCCUAGUAAGCGCAAGUCAUCAGCUUGCGUUGAUUACGUCCCUGCCCUUUGUACACACCGCCCGUCGCUCCUACCGAUUGAAUGGUCCGGUGAAGCGUUUGGACUAUGGUUUUCUGACGGUUCGCCAUUGGAUUACCGUGGGAAAUUCGUUAAACCUUAUCAUUUAGAGGAAGGAGAAGUCGUAACA